AUUGAACGCUGGCGGCAGGCCUAACACAUGCAAGUCGAACGAGUGGCGGAAGGGUGAGUAAUGUCUGGGAAACUGCCUGAUGGAGGGGGAAAAAUACUGGAAACGGUAGCUCAUACCGCAUACCAUCGGAUGUGCCCAGAUGGGCUUAGCUAGUAGGUGGGGUAAAGGCUCACCAAGUCGACGAUCCCUAGCUGGUCUGAGAGGAUGACCGGCCACACUGGAACGGAGACACGGUCCAGACUCCUACGGGAGGCAGCAGUGGGGAAUAUUGCACAAUGGGCGCAAGCCUGAUGCAGCCAUGCCGCGUGUAUGAAGAAGGCCUUCGGGUUGUAAAGUACUGUCAGCGGGGAGGCGUUACCCGCAGAAGAAGCACCGGCUAACUACGUGCCAGCAGCCGCGGUAAUAC
rnacentral:rRNA from 1 species